CAUAUAUUUUGGGGUCAUUUACCCUUCUUAAUUCAGCCCCAAUCCUGCAAAGGACAAACUUUGGGACUGUAAUUUCCUCCAGCAGUAAUGCAUGCUCAGGGUGAGCAUUUGCAAAUUCAUGGAAUGUGUUUGCCUGCUUUAUUUUUUGCAUUAAUUUUUGUUUCAAUUUUUGUUGUGACCAAUAAAGGGGAAUGCCCUCAGCCACCUCUGACUCCAGCUGCUGCACGAUCUUGAGAAAUAAAUCAGACGGCUUAAUAAGACCAGCGGUUGAUGUGUGUUUUUUAUGUUCAAUGAACAUCCCCCUGUCUCCUUUGGUGUAUGAGUGGUCUUGUGAUGUUUUCAGAAGGAGCUCCUGGCAGGUGGAACAUGAUUCUAAAUCUGGGUCCUUAGACGCCACGUUGAGGAGCCAUCCAGCGAUGUAUAUCAAGACCUCCUGUUGUACACAAUCACCUACCAUGAUGUCCUCCCCUUCCACUCCAGCCAAAGAGUCUACUGGAAGAUCUGCCACAUCUCCUAUGACAGACUGGAUGACGGUGUUGAAAUGUGAAUAUAUGGAGCGGUGUUGCGGUGUCCGGCAGGCAGUUGCCCUUGUCGGAUUGGAACAACUCCGUGACCGAAGCACUUUUGAGGGCGGCUGCAAAUUCCCUACUCGUAGGGUUGUAACGGUGACCUCCUUUUCCCCGGAUGACAGAGAACAGAUUCUGUAUAGGAAGGUUUGUAUAGGAAGGUUUGUAUGUUAUUGCAACUUAUCACCCGGUUGCCACUAUAGGCGAUAGUCAUGACUUCAUAGCAUGCAAAAGAAACAAGUGGUUCCGUUUAAAAAAGAAGCCAACUUUUUGUUUUACAACUUUCUUUGGCCCUAUAACAGUGAUUGUGUGGACAGUUAACUUGUUUACAGUUGAUUCCAUUGUUACUUAUUGUCAUCAUACAUACUUCAAUGCAAUCCUGGUUCAGCUUUGCUGUACAAAGGAACCGGAUAUUAUUUUUGUCCAUCUGUCUCCAUAGGGAAAGGGUGCUUCUUAUUGACAGCACCAGGCCCCACUGGCAUGGAGGUAUGAAUGCUUGUCUGAAAUCACAUUUGAAAGUAAGUUGCAAAUUGAUUAAAAUUAUUUUGUGCUUCUUAUUUUAGAGAGAUGUGUGUGUUUGGUGGUGGAGGAGGAUCACAACCUGAACUCCCAAGUUGGAAUUUGGGCUAUUUGCUCCUGUAGGUACUGUACUUGGACAGAACUUCCCUUCUGCAAGGGGCGCCGCCAAGGAUUUGGAUCCUUGCAGUGUCUGGGGAAAAAUAUAUUUCAGAUGUGAAUGUUGUAUGUGACUUUACUACUAUGAUCAGUGUUUGACACUUCUGGGACCACUAUGUGACCGAUGGGUUUAGAUUGGCAUGUUAGUUAUACCUUGAAUUGAGGAUGUCAAAUAGCCUAUUCAUCUCCUCAGAAAAGUCAGCUGUGGUCAUGGCCUCAACAGGCAGCAUUCCUAAGUAAUGACACCAUAUCAUUUUUAGUUUGCAAUGUCUAUUAGGAUAUACCCAUUUGUGCUGUAUUCUCCUCACCUGCUGACAGUGUGACUGAACACCUGUGUGGCCAGCCGGACACGCAUGUUCAUAAAUGGGGGUAGAUUGAUGUGCCGUUCAGUUAAUUUUGGUGCCAGUCAGAGUAUUCUGCCGGUCCACUUGGAAAAAUUGUUCCAAAUGUGCCCAUUUGGCAGAUUUGUCUGCAAUCUGUGAUAACAUAUAAUCUUUGUCACUAUUUUGAUAUUACUUGAUUUCUGAGUUCUGUGUUGAAAGAUCUGUUAUUGGCAAAUCAUGGCUAUACAAUUUCAGUGGAAAUUUUAUUGGACACUUUUCACCAACCUUAACUCCUUAAAUGUCUCUUCAUGUUUCGGAUGGACUUAAUCAGGUGUGGCACAUCAAACAUGAUUGGAAUUUGAGUUCCUCUCACUGAGCUGCAAUGUGCCACAGAUGACGUGUCUCUCCAAUUUAGGCUUGCUCCCAGGAGUUUAAGUGUUUUUAUAUUGGUGGCAGACUGGUCGCACACUACAGCCAGGACCUAUGAUUGACACACAGUGGUUUUACCCAAUCUAUUUUGUUUAUUUUAAAUGUAUUUGCUUGGUCAUAAUUCAGUAUGUGUUGUGAUUAUUAAACCUGAGUGUUGUACUCCAACUUACAGAAAAUCCAAUGGCUUGUAGCCUCUCCACUGCCUCGGACACAAUGUCCACCAUGUCUGCUGGGGACAGGGCAGAUUUUGCCAGGAAAUAGCCUAUGGCCUGUAGAUGAGUGAAGGUAUUACCGUGUAAAUGUAGUCAUGACUAAAAUGUUGAUUGUAAGUUGUACUUAAUUCACCAUGACUUACUUGCUUCCAUUUUGAUGCAAGCCCGCGAGCCAUCAGGACCAUGCAGUGGUCAGCCAUUUGACCUUUGGGAGUAAUGCCCUCCACACAGUCUGCACCUGCAUUAUACUCCUGUAGCCUCUUUAUAGCCAUCUCAUCAAAGACCAGACUCACUGCCCGCUCAUGCACCUCAAGAUUAUGAGCUACUGUGCCCAUAUGUGACAGUACUGUCUCCAAAAACCCUGGCUGUACACAGGACAACAGUGUUACAGAAUGAAGCAAGGAACAGUAGGUUUUUAUUUAGAUUUUGUUUGGUUUGUGUGCAGUCUGUGUGUAUUUUCUUUAUGUUUAUUGUUUUGUAAUGUUCAUCUCCUUACUCUGAAUUGGCCCACAAGUUUUUGGAGGAAGCGAAAUAGUGUCGUGGGUGACGGCAACACAAAUUGCUUCCUCAGUAGCUUGUAAGCGCUUGGGCUCUGAUGCCGUAUUUCGAGCCCAAGCUUCUUGAGGGCUUCUGGGAAACUCUGAGGCCGGGAGCCAUGGUACUUUGCUUGCACCAUAACAAAUUCUCUGGUCUUGUCUGGAAGACCCUGAAGUACCUCUGCCAAUUUUUUUUUUUUUUUUUCAGAUUUUAAUCUGAGAAAAAUGAAAUGAGAAAUAAGUGACCGUGUUGCCUGUACUGUUCUUUACUAUCAUAAUUAUAUUGUAAUUACAUUAUAAACCAUUGCCUACUUUGAUUGGAGGUUUUUGACCUUUUGACAAAUCUGUUUUUUGGUCUUCCUGGCCUUCCACAGCUGUUUCGUCUUUUAACUGUUUUGUUUUGUUUUGUUUUCUUUGUUUAAUGUCAUACUCAGCUGCCAUUUCUCAUCCUUCUCCUUCUGAAGAGCUGUCUCCAGCUGAGUAGCUCGCUACGAAACACGUAGAACAAGAGUGUGCUAUUGUUUUUUAAAAGCAUCGUCAUGUUUUAUUAUGCCACAAUAUUCUUGUUUACCUCUUUUUCCUUUUCAAGUGCCUGCUCCAGUUGUUUAACACGCUACAAAACAUGAUGCAACCGUUAUAUUUGACAUGCUUUGAGAUUGUUGUUUUUUGUUACCCCUUACCCCCUUUACCUCAAAUAGACCUGUUUCUCCAUUACUUUGGGAGACUAGUUCUUUACUCGUACUGAGAUGAGAGCUGUCUGUCCAAAUUCCAUGUGUCUCCACUCUGAUUGAUUUAGGUGGAUUAGGGCAAUUAAUAAGAAUGGGCACAGCAUCAUUUGCAAGGCGCUUCCGUUUGUUCUGUAACAGUAAGUUUGCCUCAUUAGAGAUCUUAUAGAGCAUUGCUUUAUUCAAAUGUUGGCCCACUUCUUGGUCUGAUUAAUAAAAUGCACUAUCAAAAGGGA